CCUACGGGAGGCAGCAGUGGGGGAUAUUGCACAAUGGGGGGAACCCUGAUGCAGCGACGCCGCGUGGGUGAAGGAGUGCUUCGGCAUGUAAAGCCCUAUCGGCAGGGAAGAAGCAAGACGGUACCUGACUAAGAAGCCCCGGCUAACUACGUGCCAGCAGCCGCGGUAAUACGUAGGGGGCAAGCGUUAUCCGGAUUUACUGGGUGUAAAGGGAGCGUAGGUGGCAUGGUAAGCCAGAAGUGAAAACCCGGGGCUCAACCCCGCGGAUUGCUUUUGGAACUAUCAGGCUGGAGUGCUGGAGGGGG
rnacentral:rRNA from 1 species